rnacentral:siRNA from 1 species
UGAGAGUUUCACCCUUCACCA